GCAGUCGAGCGGAACGAGUUAUCUGAACCUUCGGGGGACGAUAACGGCGUCGAGCGGCGGACGGGUGAGUAAUGCCUAGGAAAUUGCCCUGAUGUGGGGGAUAACCAUUGGAAACGAUGGCUAAUACCGCAUGAUGCCUACGGGCCAAAGAGGGGGACCUUCGGGCCUCUCGCGUCAGGAUAUGCCUAGGUGGGAUUAGCUAGUUGGUGAGGUAAGGGCUCACCAAGGCGACGAUCCCUAGCUGGUCUGAGAGGAUGAUCAGCCACACUGGAACUGAGACACGGUCCAGACUCCUACGGGAGGCAGCAGUGGGGAAUAUUGCACAAUGGGCGCAAGCCUGAUGCAGCCAUGCCGCGUGUGUGAAGAAGGCCUUCGGGUUGUAAAGCACUUUCAGUCGUGAGGAAGGUGGUGUAGUUAAUAGCUGCAUUAUUUGACGUUAGCGACAGAAGAAGCACCGGCUAACUCCGUGCCAGCAGCCGCGGUAAUACGGAGGGUGCGAGCGUUAAUCGGAAUUACUGGGCGUAAAGCGCAUGCAGGUGGUUUGUUAAGUCAGAUGUGAAAGCCCGGGGCUCAACCUCGGAAUAGCAUUUGAAACUGGCAGACUAGAGUACUGUAGAGGGGGGUAGAAUUUCAGGUGUAGCGGUGAAAUGCGUAGAGAUCUGAAGGAAUACCGGUGGCGAAGGCGGCCCCCUGGACAGAUACUGACACUCAGAUGCGAAAGCGUGGGGAGCAAACAGGAUUAGAUACCCUGGUAGUCCACGCCGUAAACGAUGUCUACUUGGAGGUUGUGGCCUUGAGCCGUGGCUUUCGGAGCUAACGCGUUAAGUAGACCGCCUGGGGAGUACGGUCGCAAGAUUAAAACUCAAAUGAAUUGACGGGGGCCCCGCA
rnacentral:rRNA from 1 species